rnacentral:lncRNA from 1 species
GGGCGCAGCUUUAUACAACCGCAGAGGUCGAACCCUGAACAGUUGGGGCAAGUAUGGACACAAAAUUUAAGCUUGAUACAGCUCUAAAUUUGGAUUGUGAUUAAAUGUUGACUACAACAUAGGUUUCUACACAGAGAUGAAUGUGGUCUAAGAACUUAAACUUAACCAGAUGCUCGCAGGGCGCAGCUUAAUACAACCGCAGAGGUCGAACCUGACAGUGGGGCAAGUAUGGACACAAAAUUUAAGCUUGAUACAGCUCUAAAUUUGGGUUGUGAUUAAAUAGUUGACACAACAUAGGUUUCUGACACAGAAUGAAUGUGGUCUAAGAACUUAAACUUAACCAGGUGCUCCGCAGGGCUUAGCUUUAUACGACCGCAGAGGUCGAACCCUGAACAGUUGGGGCAAGUAUGGACAAAACAUUCAAGCGUGAUACAGCUCUGAAUUUGGAUUGUGAUCAAAUUUUUGACAUUACAUGGGGUUUUUUUACACAAAACAAAUGUCAAGAUUUUACAAAUCAAUUAAAGAUUUCUUCUUCAAACUUUUUAAAUCUAAAAUUAAAUAGUUGACACAGCAUAGGUUUCUGACACAGAAUGAAUGUGGUCUAAUGAACUUAAAAGUUUAUUUUUGCCUUUGAGCAAAUUCACUAUGCUGUUGAAUAUUAAUCCUCUCAAAAAAAUGUUUGAAGAAAUUUUCUUUUUAUUUAUGAAAUCUGAAAUGAGAAAAAUUUAAACCCCUCCCCUUUUUUUUCACAUCCCCAUUUCCAUUUUUCCAAAACUGAUAUCAAUUUAAAUUUCUAAUGGAGUUUGCAACAAUAACUACUCUUUUAAAUACAUCAUAAAAUAUUAAAAUGUAAAAUAAAGUGCUUGUUAUCACUGAAUGGUAAAGAUUG